AGAGGGUCGAUUAAGUAGAUCAAAUAGUCUUCAAAAUUAUUAGUAUUGGUUCAAAUCCAAUACCCUCUG
rnacentral:tRNA from 1 species